UGUUUUCUACUGACACAGUUACUGAAAUAACCCGAAAAAGAAAGAACAAUGCAAAUAUACAGUCAAGCACACUCACUCACUCCAAGAGUUACACUGCCAAAACUGAAGAUGAGUUCCCAAGGUUCCUGCUCCACUGAAUUUAGAAGUAUGCAGCUCAAUCUCAUGAGCUUCCUGUUUUGUUAUGACUUACAACCUUGUUCCUCCCUAAACAUCCAUCACGGCAGCUG